rnacentral:rRNA from 1 species
AACGAACGCUGGCGGCAUGCCUAACACAUGCAAGUCGAACGAGACCUUCGGGUCUAGUUGCGCACGGGUGCGUAACGCGUUGGAACCUGCCCUUAGGUUCGGCAUAACUCCCCGAAAGGGGUGCUAAUACCGUAUAAUGUCUUCGGACCAAAGGUUUAUCGCCUUUGGAUGGGCCCGCGUUGGAUUAGCUAUUUGGUAUGGUAAAAGCCUACCAAGGCGACGUUCCAUAGCUGGUCUGAGAGGAGGAUCAGCCACACUGGGACUGAGACACGGCCAAGAGUCCUACGGGAGGCAGCGGUAGGGAAUAUUGGACAGUGGGCGAAAGCGUGGACCAGCGAUGCCGCGUGAGGGAUGAAGGCCUUAGGGUUGUAAAGCUCUUUGAACCGGGAGGAUAAUGACAGUACCGGGAGAAUAAGCACCGGCUAACUCCGUG